rnacentral:ncRNA from 2 species
AUCUUUCGCUAGGGGAGGGGAGUAUAUCCCCUGAGAGUCCCGACACCGAUCGGGAGACCCUUGGAACCUGAACUGGGUAAUACCUGCGCAGGGAAGCGAGUCGACACGUGA